rnacentral:rRNA from 1 species
GACGAACGCUGGCGGCGUGCUUAACACAUGCAAGUCGAACGGAAAGGCGCUGCUUGCAGGGUACUCGAGUGGCGAACGGGUGGGUAACUCAUGGGUGAUCUGCCCUGCACUUCGGGAUAAGCAUGGUCAACUGGGUCUAAUAAAGGCUAGGAGCCAUUUUUAGUGUGAUGGUUGGAAAGUUUUUUCGGUGUUGGAUGAGCCGGCGGCCUAUCGGCUUAGUGGUGCGGUAAUGGACUAACGAGGCGGCGAAGGGUAGCCGGCCUGAGAGGGUGGACGGCCACACUGGGACUGAGAGACGGCCCAGGCACCGACUGGUGGCAGCAGUGGGGAAGAUUGCACAAGCGGCGCCAGCCGGGUGCAGCGGCUCCUCGGAGGGUAAGACGGUGUUAUGGUGGAAAAAUCUUUUCGCUAGGGACGAAGCAUAUUGUGACGGUACCUAGAUAGGAAGCACCGGCUAACUACGUG